rnacentral:rRNA from 1 species
CCUACGGGAGGCAGCAGUGGGGAAUAUUGGACAAUGGGGGAAACCCUUAUCCAGCGACGCCGCGUGAGGGAAGAAGGUUUUCGGAUUGUAAACCUCUGUCAGCGGGGACGAUAAUGACGGUACACACAGAGGCAGCCACGGCUAACUACGUGCCAGCAGCCACGGGAAUACGUAGGGGGAAAGCGUUGUCCGGAAUUACUGGGUGAAAAGGGAGCGGUGGCGGGAUGUCAAGUCAGAAGUGAAAGGUGUGGGCUCAACUGAUGAACUGCUUUCGACACUGACAUUCUAGAGUGAAGUAGAGGCAAGUGGAAUUCCUAGUGUAGCGGUGAAAUGCGUAGAUAUUAGGAGGAACACCAGUGGCGAAGGCGGCUUGCUGGACUUUGACUGACGCUGAGGUUCGAAAGCGUGGGGAGCAAACAGGAUUAGAUACCCGGGUAGUC